UUCCGGUUGAUCCCGCCGGACCUGACUGCUAUCGGAUUGAUACUAAGCCAUGUGAGUCGUUGUAGCAAUACAAGGCGUACGGCUCAGUAACACGUAGUCAAUCUAACCUAUGGACGGGGAUAACCUCGGGAAACUGAGGAUAAAACCCGAUAGAUCAUAAUUCCUGGAACGGUUUAUGGUCCAAACGAUUCGUUGCCGUAGGAUGGGACUGCGGCCUAUCAGCUUGUUGGUGAGGUAAUGGCCCACCAAGGCUAUUACAGGUACGGGCUCUGAGAGGAGAAGCCCGGAGAUGGGUACUGAGACACGGACCCAGGCCCUAUGGGGCGCAGCAGGCGAGAAAACUUUGCAAUGUGCGCAAGCACGACAAGGUUAAUCCGAGUGUUUCCUGCUUAAGGAAUCUUUUGUUAGUUGUAAAACCACUAUCGAAUAAGGGGUGGGCAAGUUCUGGUGUCAGCCGCCGCGGUAAAACCAGCACCUCAAGUGGUCAGGAGGAUUAUUGGGCCUAAAGCAUCCGUAGCCUGUUCUAUAAGUUUCCGGUUAAAUCCAUUAGCUCAACUAAUGGGCUGCCGAAAAUACUGUAGAACUAGGGAGUGGGAGAGGUAGACGGUAUUCGGUAGGAAGGGGUAAAAUCCUUUGAUCUAUUGAGGACCACCUGUGGCGAAGGCGGUCUACCAGAACACGUUCGACGGUGAGGGAUGAAAGCUGGGGGAGCAAACCGGAUUAGAUACCCGGGUAGUCCCAGCUGUAAACGAUGCAGACUCGGUGAUGCGCUGGCUUGUGGCCAGUGCAGUGCCGCAGGGAAGCCGUUAAGUUUGCCGCCUGGGAAGUACGUACGCAAGUAUGAAACUUAAAGGAAUUGGCGGGGGAGCACCACAAGGGGUGAAGCCUGCGGUUCAAUUGGAUUCAACGCCGGA
rnacentral:rRNA from 1 species